rnacentral:rRNA from 1 species
AUUGAACGCUGGCGGCAUGCUUUACACAUGCAAGUCGAACGGCAGCACGAAAGAGCUUGCUCUUUUGGUGGCGAGUGGCGAACGGGUGAGUAAUGCAUCGGAACGUACCGAGUAAUGGGGGAUAACUGUCCGAGAGGAUAGCUAAUACCGCAUACGCUUUGAGAAGGAAAGUGGGGGCUCUUCGGACCUCACGUUAUUCGAGCGGCCGAUGUCUGAUUAGCUAGUUGGUGGGGUAAAGGCCUACCAAGGCGACGAUCAGUAGCGGGUCUGAGAGGAUGAUCCGCCACACUGGGACUGAGACACGGCCCAGACUCCUACGGGAGGCAGCAGUGGGGAAUUUUGGACAAUGGGCGCAAGCCUGAUCCAGCCAUGCCGCGUGUCUGAAGAAGGCCUUCGGGUUGUAAAGGACUUUUGUUAGGGAAGAAAAGGAUAGUGUUAAUACCAUUAUCUGCUGACGGUACCUAAAGAAUAAGCACCGGCUAACUACGUG